rnacentral:lncRNA from 1 species
GGGUGGGUAACUACAAAAGGGAGAUGAGUCUCAUUGGGUGGGAGGCAUCUUCAUUUGGUUGAAAGCUCGUAGAGUAUGUGUGAGGUUUCACUACUCUUGCUUGCCGGGAAUCUGCACACUCAAGCUGGAUAUUUCUCCACCAAACCAAGGCUGUUUGGUACACAUUUGUUGUGGUUUAACUUGCACACCUAAUCAACUCUACAUAGAAUUAUAGAAACCAAUGCUCUGGUACAUCAUCUGUCUCUCUUUUCUCACAGUCGCGUGAUUUUUCUGUUGUAGUUCUGUUUUUGAUAACUCUGUUUGGUUGAGUUGAAAGGUUUUUCUAUUGUAGCUCUGUUUACGUUGUAGACAAAUUCAGUCCACAAGGUGUUCGAUAGAUUGCCCGAGAGAGUUUCUUUGCUGCGAAUUGGGUCUUAUGACCUGUAUAUUUCAUAUUUAAAUCUAAUAGAAUAAUAAGAAUUACAUCACUCAUUAUAAAAAAAGGAUGAAUUAUGGCUAGCCUUCUUACUUUCGUGCAAUCUAAAUAUAUUAGCAUUACAAUCUGAUCCAUUUCGACUUUAGAGCAGCAGCAGCGUGAGUUAUUAUUGGGAUUUUGUAGUUUUCUCUCUGGUCUUGAUUCUAUUUUUUAUUGAAUUACAGAUGAUAAAAUUAUCAUACUUACAUUUUUAUUUAUUAUUAUCAUAUGGACUGUUAUGAUAACUUUAUUAACUACGUCCAGUUUUAUUAUACUUUGAGCAUUUUAAUCACUCUAGUUACCGAUGGCUUUGAGUUCGAUUACCACAACAUACUAUUCUGUUGGUAAUUUACAAAUACUGUUCUAAUUUUUCUAUUUUCUUUUUUUUUUCUAUCACCAUAUCUUUAAUUCAAACACAACUUUAUACUAUUGCCAUUUGUGGAGCUAUUAUAAAGUCAUCACUAGGCUUUUGGGCCACCAAUUUAAAGGACAAAGACAUGAUUUGCUGGAAUUUGUUUUCUCCUGGGUCUCGUAAGGUAUAAUAAACGGGCCAGACUUUUCAGAUUUCCAACAAAGAAAUUGGGCCUUUUAUAGGCUGCAAAUUUUAAGGCCUUCAAAGAAUAUACUUAAGCCUCUUGGGACUUCAGCAGUUAGAGGACAUUUGAGAACGGUAGCGUGCCACUUGGGACUUCUUGUUGGGUCACAAUCUUUUUUAUGCUUAGGUAAUUGGGUUUUGGGGCUGAAUUUUAAAGCCAUUUCAGGACUCAUAUUUGGCCCACCAAAAGGAAAAUGUCAUUAUAACAAAAAUUUUGUACAUAAACAACCGUCAUAAUAACGUGGGCAAUAUUAUAAUUAAAAAUAAUUUUGAUGGUUCUUUAUAUUUAAAUAAUAAAUUUAUAAUUAUGCUACGUUAUUCUGUAUAAAAUUUAUUAAGAUAAAUGAAGGUGUCUUUCAUUCUUUCUUUUUCUAAGCACCCUUUCUGUAGAGAAUCAUAUUUUCUCUCUCUUUACUUUCUUGGAAUUAUUUAAUUCAUCAUUUGUCUUAAAAGUUGGUGACUUAAUUGUUGGAAAAAACUUCAUUUUUUUAAAAAAAACUUAAACAACACACAAAAAAAAAACAAAAAAAAUUUCUUUGUUUAAACCAGAGCGUUGAAUCACAAAAGAAGAGAAGAAGAGAACAGAUUAUAAACCAAUGCAACUUAAGAUGCAGAAUUGUGAUUUGGCUGAGGCCUGAAUUAAAUCAGUGUACUUAAGGAUGUUUACAACCCGCACUUGGUACUUACGGAAUAUGUUUGUACGACUCCAGGAUACACAGCGUGCACAGGGACCUUUUCUGCCCAAAUUGAAAGGUUGCACCUAUUCAGGAUCAAAGGAAAACUUCUGGAAGAAAUUCGUAUAACCGCUUUGUUUAAAUCCGAAACGGUGUGACCGUUCGCCAACAAGGAAAUUAAUUCCGGGGAAGAAACGUAAUUUCUUAAUUUAGAAAUAAAAUAAUGAAUAAAUUUUUCUCAAGAAAAUAAAUUCAAUUAAGCCCAAAGCCCAAAGACGAGCCCGAGCCGAGCCCGGCGGGCGAGGCGGCGCAGCCGCACAGGGGUCAAUCCAUAAAGACCAUAGGCUUAAUGGAUCAGGACCACUUUAUACAUAACUCCUCCCCUUUAAAAACUUGUGGUGCCAAGGGCCCAAUUUAAAGGAGGUCCAUACUGAGGCUUUAUAUUUCCAUAACUUUCCUUUCUUUUUCCAUUUGGGACAACCUUUCUAUCCCCAUUUUUCCUUUGCAUUGAAGUUCUUUGAGACAACAAUUUCCAUUCAAAUUAACUUAUUUUUUGGACCCCAAUGAAUACACUAAUUCAUCUACUCAUUUAGAGAACAGAAUCUAUCAUGUUCAGUUAAUUUAGUGCUACGGAAAUUCAAAAAUUUAAUUCCAAAGUGUGUUCACAACAACACUCUCAAAAACCAAACUUCUAACAUUAAUUCAUAUAUAAAUUCCCAAAUAACAAGUCUUAUUGGCCAUAUUUUGUAUACUACUUCAGGACAUAGUCAAAUAAGA